AUUGAACGCUGGCGGCACGCCUAACACAUGCAAGUCGAACGGAUCCUUCGGGAUUAGUGGCGGACGGGUGAGUAACACGUGGGAACGUGCCCUUUGGUUCGGAACAACUCAGGGAAACUUGAGCUAAUACCGGAUGUGCCCUUCGGGGGAAAGAUUUAUCGCCAUUGGAGCGGCCCGCGUCUGAUUAGCUAGUUGGUGAGGUAAAGGCUCACCAAGGCGACGAUCAGUAGCUGGUCUGAGAGGAUGAUCAGCCACAUUGGGACUGAGACACGGCCCAAACUCCUACGGGAGGCAGCAGUGGGGAAUCUUGCGCAAUGGGCGAAAGCCUGACGCAGCCAUGCCGCGUGAAUGAUGAAGGUCUUAGGAUUGUAAAAUUCUUUCACCGGGGACGAUAAUGACGGUACCCGGAGAAGAAGCCCCGGCUAACUUCGUGCCAGCCGCCGCGGUAAAAC
rnacentral:rRNA from 1 species